AGAGUUUGAUCCUGGCUCAGAACGAACGCUGGCGGCGUGCCUAACACAUGCAAGUCGUGGGAGAAACUCUCCUUCGGGAGAGGAGUAAACCGGCGCACGGGUGAGUAACACGUGGGUAACCUGCCCUGAAGUCUGGGAUAACCCACCGAAAGGUGGGCUAAUACCGGAUAGUUCCCUGCCUCACAAGAGGCAGGGGGAAAGGGGGCCUCUGCUUGCAAGCUCUCGCUUCAGGAUGGGCCCGCGGCCUAUCAGGUAGUUGGUGGGGUAAAAGCCUACCAAGCCUACGACGGGUAGCUGGUCUGAGAGGAUGGUCAGCCACACUGGCACUGAGACACGGGCCAGACUCCUACGGGAGGCAGCAGUGGGGAAUAUUGGGCAAUGGGCGAAAGCCUGACCCAGCGACGCCGCGUGGAGGAUGAAGGCCUUCGGGUCGUAAACUCCUGUCAGAGGGGAAGAAGGCAUAGAGGGCUAAUACCCCUUUAUGCUUGACGGUACCCUCAGAGGAAGCACCGGCUAACUACGUGCCAGCAGCCGCGGUAAUACGUAGGGUGCGAGCGUUGUUCGGAAUCACUGGGCGUAAAGCGUGCGUAGGCGGCCCUGUAAGUCCAAUGUGAAAGCCUUGGGCUCAACCCAAGAAUUGCAUUGGAUACUGCAGGGCUCAGAGUGCGGGAGAGGCAAGCGGAAUUCCCGGUGGAGGGGUGAAAUCCGUAGAUAUCGGGAGGAACACCGGUGGCGAAGGCGGCUUGCUGGAACGCAACUGACGCUGAGGCACGAAAGCGUGGGGAGCAAACAGGAUUAGAUACCCUGGUAGUCCACGCCCUAAACGAUGGACGCUGGGUGUCGGGAGGUAACCUUCCCGGUGCCGUAAGCUAACGCGUUAAGCGUCCCGCCUGGGGAGUACGGCCGCAAGGCUAAAACUCAAAGGAAUUGACGGGGGCCCGCACAAGCGGUGGAGCAUGUGGUUUAAUUCGAUGAUACGCGAAGAACCUUACCUGGGCUUGACAUGCUGGUGGUAGUGAACCGAAAGGGGAACGACCC
rnacentral:rRNA from 1 species